rnacentral:rRNA from 1 species
UACGAAGGGGGCAAGCGUUGUUCGGAAUUACUGGGCGUAAAGGGCGCGCAGGCGGCCGUUCAAGUCAGAUGUGAAAGCCCCGGGCUCAACCUGGGAAUAGCAUUUGGGACUGGAUGGCUAGAGUUCGGGAGAGGAGAGUGGAAUUCCCAGUGUAGAGGUGAAAUGCGUAGAUAUUGGGAGGAACACCAGUGGCGCAAGCGGCUAUCUGGACUGACAUUGACGCUGAGGCACGAAAGCGUGGGGAUCAAACAGG